rnacentral:rRNA from 1 species
AAAUUGAAGAGUUUGAUCAUGGCUCAGAUUGAACGCUGGCGGCAGGCCUAACACAUGCAAGUCGAACGGUAACAGGAAAGC